GAACGAACCUCUGGAGAGACUCAAAGGAGCACCGAAGGGGAAAGCCUGAUUUUCAGGUGAAACUCUCAGGUAAAAGGACAGAGGAUUUCUC
rnacentral:ncRNA from 1 species